GAUGAACGCUAGCUACAGGCUUAACACAUGCAAGUCGAGGGGUAACGAGAGGAAAGCUUGCUUUCCUUGUCGACGACCGGCGCACGGGUGAGUAACGCGUAUCCAACCUGCCCCCAACUAGGGAAUAACCUUGCGAAAGUAAGACUAAUACCCUAUAAUUUCCUCAGAUGUCAUCUGACGAGGAAUAAAGAUUUAUCGGUUGUGGAUGGGGAUGCGUCUGAUUAGCUUGUUGGCGGGGUAACGGCCCACCAAGGCAACGAUCAGUAGGGGUUCUGUGUGGAAGGUCCCCCACAUUGGAACUGAGACACGGUCCAAACUCCUACGGGAGGCAGCAGUGAGGAAGAUUGUUCAAUGGGCGGAUGCCUUAACCAGCCAAUUAGCGUGCAGGAUGACGGCCCUAUGGGUUGUAAACUGCUUUUAUACAGGAAUAAAGUUAGCCACGUGUGGUUAUUUGUAGGUACUGUAUGAAUAAGGACCGGCUAAUUCCGUGCCAGCCGCCGCCGCGG
rnacentral:rRNA from 1 species